rnacentral:rRNA from 1 species
GACGAACGCUGGGCGGCGUGCUUAACACAUGCAAGUCGAGCGGUAAGGCCCUUUCGGGGGUACACGAGCGGCGAACGGGUGAGUAACACGUGGGUGACCUGCCCUCAGCUCUGGGAUAAGCCUGGGAAACCGGGUCUAAUACCGGAUAUGACUCCACGGCGCAUGUUGUGGGGUGGAAAGCCUUGUGUGGCUUAGAGAUGGGCCCGCGGCCUAUCAGCUUGUUGGUGGGGUGANGGCCUACCAAGGCGACGACGGGUAGCCGGCCUCGAGAGGCGACCGGCCACACUGGGACUGAGACACGGCCCAGACUCCUACGGGAGGCAGCAGUGGGGAAUCUUGCGCAA